rnacentral:lncRNA from 1 species
GAGGCUGGAACAGCUCUGAGGGAUCAUCGAGUCCAAGCUGUGCCCAAUGCCCACCUCGUCCCCAGCCACCUCCAGUCCUUCCUUGGACACCUCCAGGGAUGGACACUCCAAACCUCCCUGGGCAGCUCCUUCUAAUGCCCGAGCACCCUUUCCAUGGAGAAAUCUUUCCUCAGAGUCCAGGGGCAGAGCUCAGUGAGGCUGUGCCCCCUGCCCACCUCUGGCCAGGACCCCCUGUCCUGCUUUGCGUCUCUAAGCCCAGGCCAAGACAAACAAAGGAAGGAAGUGUCUGGGACUUUUAAAGCGACCUAGUGGAGACAGCAGCAAUCCAGGCUCUGGUGGUCACCCAGCACUCAGGUGUGAGUGAUGCAGAAAGUCCAGGCCGCCUUUAUCCAGAGGAAUCAGUCGAUCCAAGCACCUCUACCAGAGUGAGG